rnacentral:rRNA from 1 species
AUUGAACGCUGGCGGCAGGCUUAACACAUGCAAGUCGAGCGCGCGGCGGACGGGUGAGUAAUAUAUGGGGACCGCCCCAUAGAGUGGGAGAAAUCCUGGAAACGGUGGCUAAUACCCCAUACUGUAUGAUAACCCAUAUGGGAUUAGGUAGUGGUUAAGGUAAUGGCUUACCCAGGCGACGAUCCCUCGCUGGUCUGAGAGGAUGAUGAGCCACACUGGGACUGAGACACGGACCAGACUCCUACGGAGGCAGCAGUGGGGAAUCGUGCACAAUGGGCGAAAGCCUGAUGCAGCCAUACCGCGUGUAUGAAGAAGGCCAUAGGGUUGUAAAGUACUUUCAGUAGGGAGGCGUUAGCGACAGAAGAAGCACCGGCUAACUACGUGCCAGCAGCCGCGGUAAUAC